GAACCUUCUGACCUGUGUGUGUGUGUGUACAUGUGUGUUGUGUCACAUGUUGUGUGGUGGUGACUAAACUGUGGUCCCGAGAUGAACUUUCCCAACCUAGCUGUACCCUUUCGCAGUGAGGAGAGACUUUACAGACUAAAGGUUCCUCGGUCUGCCCGCCACGGACCACCAGUACCCACAUCGGCUCCUCACACUCACCCAGCAGCACGUGGCACCCCCCCCUCCUCCUCCUCCCCCCCACAGGAGGGACUGAACACACAGACAUGUUAACAUGUUCCACACCUCUCGGCGAGGCCAAGCUUCCAGAGAGCUCUGACGGAGAGGCGACCAAACACACACACACACGCACACACCAGUUUUCAUCUCCUCUGUUUUCACUCCUCUCUGCAGAGGGCGCUGUCAUCACCCUUUACUGUUAUUGGUGUUAUCAGUGUUUGUUUCUUUGUUUUUUCUCAGAUUUUUUUUUCCCUUUUUUUUGUCUUUCUUUCUUUCUCAAAAGAGGGCAAAGUGGACACUGGAUGAACUGUUAAAGCUGUGUAAUUAAAAGCCAAACACGUGGUUUUGUUAUUUAUGUUUGUAGCUUUUAGCCCAGGUAUACGGAGGGAUACUUUUAGUCAUUCUGUGUCUUAGUUUGUUUUACAGCAUAGUUUUGGAGCCAGAAAAUGUCAAAGGGAGCGAAUGAUUGUGUAAAACACUUGUUUGCCUUUUUUUUUUAUUAUUAUUAUUCAAAAAAUGUCAUUUCCUCAGCUAAUGCAAUUUUGAGCAAUAGUAAAACUCCCAGGCAUGAGAGUGACCUUUUUCUUUAUAUAUCCCAUUGUUUUGUAUGAGUAAAAGUGUUAAUAAAUAAUUUAAGCUUU